UGGUGAAGCAUGCAAAUUGUAACAUACAUGUGUGGUCCUGCAUGGCCACCACAUGUCUUCUAUCUGAGAACCCAGGGACACACGGAAGAAGCAAAAUGCAGGAUGAGGACUCAUUUUGCCAUCUACACUCUUUCUCUUCUCUUUCACGUCUUAUCUCUUCUCUUCAGUUCUCUCAACACACUUUCCAAAAGUCUUACCUCUCUCUCCUCUCAUCCCAUCUUCGCCGACCAACCUCCGGCGUUGCACCACCACCAAACACAAAAAACCUAACAUGACCUCCCCGUUAAAUCUCUUCCUCCAUCCAAAACCAAAUUUCUUCACCUAGCUUCAACUCAAAAGUUGUGAAACAAAAACCCAACAUAAACUCACCACAAGAAUCGAUUCAAACACAACGAAGAAUAUUGGCAAUGGAACAAGGAAUCACAACACAAUCACAACGCAAAGAUAUUAUUAGAACACAUAUUAAAAUUCGCAGAUGCAAAACCCUAGGUUUACACAAGCAUUUAAUUCACAACAAUUGCAUUAAAAAAUCAAGAAGAAAGGAAAUUAAAACAUGAAGAAAGUACCAAAUGGAAAAGUCGAGUUCUCUGGUGACGCUCUGACGACAGGUUUUCAAUCAAGAAUCAGGGCAAUGAUGAGAGAAUCUUAGGCAUGUAGAGAAAAUGUAGAAUAAGAGAGAGACUGAAUGUCCCUAUGGAUACUUGCAAAGUUAAACUUAUGUGCCAAAGGUGGCUUGAAUUAAAUGAAGAUCUUCUUGUAGUUUAAGAAACUUGUAUCCAUUUGGAUCUUUUGGAUCCAUUUGGAUCUUUUGUAAAUUAGGAACCAAGUGUCACUUUAAAGUUGAUGGUUGAAUCGUGUAAAUUAGGAACCUUAUGUCACAUUGGAAACUUGAGUUAUAGAGAAAAAGAGCACAAAUAACACGUAGAAACUUGGAAUAA